GAUGAACGCUGGCGGCGUGCCUAAUACAUGCAAGUCGAGCGAACAGAUGAGGAGCUUGCUCCUCUGACGUUAGCGGCGGACGGGUGAGUAACACGUGGAUAACCUACCUAUAAGACUGGGAUAACUUCGGGAAACCGGAGCUAAUACCGGAUAAUAUAUUGAACCGCAUGGUUCAAUAGUGAAAGACGGUUUUGCUGUCACUUAUAGAUGGAUCCGCGCCGCAUUAGCUAGUUGGUAAGGUAACGGCUUACCAAGGCAACGAUGCGUAGCCGACCUGAGAGGGUGAUCGGACACACUGGAACUGAGACACGGUCCAGACUCCUACGGGAGGCAGCAGUAGGGAAUCUUCCGCAAUGGGCGAAUGACUGACGGAGCAACGCCGCGUGAGUGAUGAAGGUCUUCGGAUCGUAAAACUCUGUUAUUAGGGAAGAACAAAUGUGUAAGUAACUAUGCACGUCUUGACGGUACCUAAUCAGAAAGCCACGGCUAACUACGUG
rnacentral:rRNA from 1 species